rnacentral:rRNA from 1 species
UACAGAGGGGGCAAGCGUUGUUCGGAAUUACUGGGCGUAAAGGGCUCGUAGGCGGCCAACUAAGUCGGAUGUGAAAUCCCCAAGCUUAACUUGGGAACUGCAUCCGAUACUGGAUGGCUUGAAUCCGGGAGAGGGAUGCAGAAUUCCAGGUGUAGCGGUGAAAUGCGUGGAUAUCUGGAGGAAUACCGGUGGCGAAGGCGGCAUCCUGGACCGGCAUUGACGCUGAGGAGCGAAAGCUAGGGGAGCAAACGGG